rnacentral:lncRNA from 13 species
GUUUGUUGAAGGAGGGGAAAGAGAGAGAGGGAGAGAGAUAGUUGUAACUAAGAGGGGGUCUGGGAUAAUAUCACAUUCAAUAGAGUCUGACUGAUGCACAUGCGCACAGAGUGGAACACACUGCUCAAUAGCUGUGGCCUUUUAAGAGGCUGCCACACAGGUCGAGCCCAUUCCUCAUGCUGACUUUAUAAAAGUCCCAGGAUUCCCCCCUUCCCCCUCCUCCCCUCUCUCAGUCCUCUGCUGCUGGGAAGGCGAUGGUGGUGUGAGUGGGUGGUGGAGGGGAAGUGGAGUGCCCCAUACAAUUAGGCCAACAGCUCCUUCAUGGUAACCCUGCUGACUGACUUGAAUCGCCACCUUUUCCAUUCUUUUGUGUGGCCAGGUUGGCUCAGCCUGCUCUUCUAAUUGAAAGUAAAAUAGCUCAAGUGGGUCUGAGCUCAGGCGUCCUCAGUAUGAGCUCUCUCUUUCUUUUGAUGUGCAUGCCGGGAACAAAGGUUCCCCCGCGGCUGCAAUGGAGGGGAUGAUGUGGGCCUGAAGCAGGGCUGGGGCUGCCCGCCCUACCCUGCCAUGAGGGUCCCAGCAGAGGAAUUCUAACAGGGCACUGUGUGUGCAUCCACUACUUCCUACCCCUGACCACUGUAGAACAGAACAGAGCCCAGUAGAGUCUCGACAGAUAGACUAUUCUGCACCUCUCAGACCUAGAAAUCCCUCUUCUUAAACAAGAGAGUGGAGGGAGGGAGGGAGGGAGGGAGGGAGGGAGAACGAGAAAGACAGGCUGACCCAGUCUGUUCCCCUUUCUAGAACAGGUCUGUCUGUCUGCAUCUCUGAUCCAUCUGGCCCGUCCACAUGGCUGGAAUGACCAUUAGGGGCAGCCCCUUUCAACACGGCAGGCACCACGAGUCAUUGGCGUGGCAAAACGCAGAAUGGUCAUCAAGACCGUCCUAUCAGAACCAAUCACUUUCCCAGAUGUCCAAAGGUCAGACAGGAAGUGGUCCUGGGGUCACCCCCUAUGAAGCCUCUCUUUCCCCUCCCCCUGGUCUGGUCUGGCCCAACCAAUACCGUCCACUAAAACAGACCAAUCACAACCUGCUGGGGCUGCAUGGGGCAAUAGGGGUACUGGAGAGGGGGAGGACAGUGGAGGCCGGGGGACACUUUCAUGUGGAAGACACACUUAGUGCCUGCUGCUCCAUCCCUGAUCCUACCCUCGGCCUAGCCAUGGACUAGUCCAGAGAGGAAGAGAGGGUGGUGGGCCUGGGUUGGAUAGGGAGGGGUAUUGGCUGGGGGCUUUGAUCGUAACCAACCCUCUCCCUCCUGACACAUUUGCCAUCUGUGAUCAGAGAGAGAGUAGAGGAGGAGGAGGGGGAAGUGAUCAGAGAGAGAGUAGAGGAGGAGGAGGGGGAAGUGAUCAGAGAGAGAGUAGAGGAGGAGGAGGGGGAAGUGAUCAGCUCCUCUAACCCUGUGUGUGCAUGAACAUAACCCCCUUGAAAUCCACUGCAUGACCAUCCUUAAAGGUGAACACUGGGACCGUGCCUAUGUAUCAUCACUAUCCACUAACCCCUCUCUAACAUGCUAACAUGUCUUAUUUUAUGGUCAAGUGUAUAAUGGCAAGCUGAAAGGCUAGUAUCCCCUCCCUCUGUGGGUUGGCUUUAAAGGGAUUCAUCAUAGAAUGAAAUAGAACAUAGAGAACAAAUGCUAGACUUACAAAGGUUUAUGACAUAACCACUCCAGUAUUACAUAUCUAUAUGGGAUCCAGCACAUUCCAGGUUAGAAUCCUGAAGGUUUAUGCCUAUACCCAUGGCCACAGGAAGAUGUUUUGGGGUGGGGCUGCUGUCGACGGGAGCCUUUAUUUCUCUCCGCUCACACAGGAAUAAUUAAAGCCUAGUUCAAUCAUUUUGUGGAAUUUGAAUAUAAAUAUAAAAAUCAAUAUAAUAUAAUGGGGUGCUGCAGCAUCGUCAGCAUCCCUAAUUCCCCUGGCUCGGCCUCUACCCUCUUUACUGUUAUAUCUCUAUGGACUCCAUGCUCCAGCCCCAUGCUCCACCAAUACAAACCAGUAGGCAGUUGUGUAGCCAGGCCAGACCAGUUGAGGAGGUUAGGAAUGGAUGCUGAAUAUUUAACCCUUGUUGAGUAGCCUUGGUUAAUUUGUCAGGCCAUGGUUAAAUGUCACCAUUAGCAUUCUGUUGGGUUAUUGACUGGCAGGGGGGCUCUGUCGGCUGGAUGAUGGAUGCCUGCUGCAGGACACCCAAAACCAGACAGCCCCAACCACAUGGCCGGCCAUAUCGAUGGAAUAGUAUUAAUACAGGAGGAAGAGGCCUGGGGGGCUACAAGCAUUACCAACACAGAGGACAAGUCAGAUUAACACACACAUGUACAGUGCCUUGCGAAAGUAUUCGGCCCCCUUGAACUUUGCGACCUUUUGCCACAUUUCAGGCUUCAAACAUAAAGAUAUAAAACUGUAUUUUUUUGUGAAGAAUCAACAACAAGUGGGACACAAUCAUGAAGUGGAACAACAUUUAUUGGAUAUUUCAAACUUUUUUAACAAAUCAAAAACUGAAAAAUUGGGCGUGCAAAAUUAUUCAGCCCCUUUACUUUCAGUGCAGCAAACUCUCUCCAGAAGUUCAGUGAGGAUCUCUGAAUGAUCCAAUGUUGACCUAAAUGACUAAUGAUGAUAAAUACAAUCCACCUGUGUGUAAUCAAGUCUCCGUAUAAAUGCACCUGCACUGUGGUAGUCUCAGAGGUCCGUUAAAAGCGCAGAGAGCAUCAUGAAGAACAAGGAACACACCAGGCAGGUCCGAGAUACUGUUGUGAAGAAGUUUAAAGCUGGAUUUGGAUACAAAAAGAUUUCCCAAGCUUUAAACAUCCCAAGGAGCACUGUGCAAGCGAUAAUAUUGAAAUGGAAGGAGUAUCAGACCACUGCAAAUCUACCAAGACCUGGCCGUCCCUCUAAACUUUCAGCUCAUACAAGGAGAAGACUGAUCAGAGCAGCCAAGAGGCCCAUGAUCACUCUGGAUGAACUGCAGAACUACAGCUGAGGUGGGAGACUGUCCAUAGGACAACAAUCAGUCGUAUAUUGCACAAAUCUGGCCUUUAUGGAAGAGUGGCAAGAAGAAAGCCAUUUCUUAAAGAUAUCCAUAAAAAGUGUUGUUUAAAGUUUGCCACAGGCCACCUGGGAGACACACCAAACAUGUG